GGAGAGAUGGCCGAGUGGUCGAAGGCACUCCCUUGCUAAGGGAGCAGUGGGAUAAAACCCACUCAAGAGUUCGAAUCUCUUUCUCUCCGCCA
rnacentral:tRNA from 1 species